rnacentral:rRNA from 1 species
UGGUCAAGUUAUUAAGGGUGCAGGGCGGAUGCCUUGGCACUAGGAGCCGAUGAAGGACGUGAUAAGCUGCGAUAAGCUUCGGGGAGUUGCACGUAAACUUUGAUCCGAAGAUUUCCGAAUGAGGAAACUCACUUAGAGUAAUGUCUAAGUAUCAUUAAGUGAAUACAUAGCUUAAUGAGGGGAACUCAGGGAACUGAAACAUCUAAGUACCUGAAGGAAGAGAAAGAAAUUCGAUUCCGUAAGUAGCGGCGAGCGAACGCGGAUUAGCCCAAACCAAUAAAGUUUUCUUUAUUGGGGUUGCGGACAUAUCAUAACGAAGAGGUAUCGUAAUUGAAGAGGUUUGGAAAGACCCACCACAGAAGGUAAUAGUCCUGUAUGUUAAACGAGAAGACUUCAGAUAUGAUCCAGAGUACCACGGGACACGUGAAACCCUGUGGGAAGCAGGAGGGACCACCCUCCAAGGCUAAAUACUACCUAGUGACCGAUAGCGUAUAGUACCGUGAGGGAAAGGUGAAAAGAACCCCGGGAGGGGAGUGAAAUAGAACCUGAAACCCUGCACUUACAAGCUGUGGAAGCACAUUUCUUGUGUGACCGCGUACUUUUUGUAGAACGGGCCAACGAGUUACGUUAAGUAGCAAGGUUAAGCACUUAAGGUGUGGAGCCGUAGCGAAAGCGAGUUUUAACUGAGCGUUCAGUUACUUGACGUAGACCCGAAACCGGGCGACCUACCCAUGAGCAGGAUGAAGCGAAAGUAAAAUUUCGUGGAGGUCCGAACCCACGAGCGUUGAAAAGCUCGGGGAUGACUUGUGGGUAGCGGUGAAAUUCCAAUCGAGCCCGGAGAUAGCUGGUUCUCCCCGAAAUAGCUUUAGGGCUAGCCUCAAGGUGAGAGAUACGGAGGUAGAGCACUGAAUGUCCUAGGGGGUAUUGCACCUACCGAAGACUAUCAAACUCCGAAUGCCGUCAUCUUAUACUUGGGAGUCAGACUGUGGGUGAUAAGAUUCAUAGUCGAAAGGGCAACAGCCCAGAUCGUCAGCUAAGGUCCCUAAAUGUAAGUUAAGUGGUAAAGGAUGUGGGAUUGCACAGACAACCAGGAUGUUGGCUUAGAAGCAGCCACUCAUUCAAAGAGUGCGUAAUAGCUCACUGGUCGAGUGAUCCUGCGCCGAAGAUUUCCGGGGCUAAAACUUACUACCGAAGCUACGGCAUCAGUAAUGAUGGGUAGGGGAGCUUCCCAUACGGGUUGAAGCAUGACCGUAAGGACAUGUGGACAGUAUGGGAGUGAGAAUGUUGGCAUGAGUAGCGAGAUGUGGGUGAGAAUCCCACAGGCCGUAAACCCAAGGUUUCCAGGGGAAGGUUCGUCCGCCCUGGGUUAGUCGGGACCUAAGCUGAGGCCGAAAGGCGUAGGUGAUGGACAACAGGUUGAU